GGGGAAAUUAGUUGACAAUAAAUUGCCUAUGUACGUUCAAAGGCGUGGGGACACUCUUGCGGGAAUUGAAAGACUAACUUUGUUCCUCGACCAUAGUCCGUGUUGGUAAUCGGGUUUUGUGGAUCGGUACGGUGUAGGUGUUCCUUGAAGUCGUCAUUAAUUGUAACUCAUAUUCGCGGUCGAACUGAGUCAAUUUCAUUUUUCUCGGCCGUUUAUACCACGGUCGGCGGCGCCAAUGUGGUGCUCCGAGUUUAACUAAUAGAAGCCGCAUUUCGCACUAAUUUCAAUGAAUUAUUAAUAUCAACAUAAAAUUGAUUCGACACUGUGCGAACAAGGACUCUUCGGGUAUUUGCUUUCAAUGAUAUAGAAAUAGUUGAACUUAGGUGCUGUCGACCCCGUGUUUGACCCUAAUCUAUGGGGUGAUACGGGUCGGCAUUUGGAAAUUAAUGUGGGCAUAGCGGUCCCUUGAUGCUCGAUUCGAAUUUUGGGUUUCCUGAACUGCCAUGGGGUGUAGGUGGAUCUCCUCGGACAGGAUAUUAGCUAUUAGGGGCGAAUUGGAGUGGUAAAAAUCGGUAUAGUCGGACAUAUGGAGGCAGCAGUCGAAUGGGGCACUCGCGAUAGAUCACUCGAGUUACAGAAAUGUAGUUAUGCAGUCCAGUUCCACGUCAUUUACUUUACCUUUCUCUACCCGAUGUGAAAGAUUGGAUCUUGUAUGCUUUCUGAUAGAUACUUUGGGAUCAGUCUUCCGCCUAAAUCAUCAUUUUUCUCUGAUAUCUCGAGAAAAAUUGAACCGUGACCCCACACAUGUGUGGCGGGCAGUGGGAGAAGUUUCGGGUUUAUAUCAUAAUUGAGUAUGGUCGUUGGGUCUUCUCCGU
rnacentral:rRNA from 1 species